ACAAUAAUGUUCUUUUGAAUUUUUGCGGGCAAUUGACAUUAACAUUAACAUCUAGAGACAUGUUUACAUUCUAUCAGUCCGGCAGCCCUAUUUUGACAUUCGCAACAAUUGACGUACAUUUAUACAAACAGGUGGUCACAAAGAGAUGAGUAUUGAACAAAAUUGCAACAUUAAUGACAUUUAUAGACUAAUUUAAUUCUAUUUAUUUUCUAUUGCAGGUACUGGAGGAUCAUCGUCGUCGUCUGGAGCACUGUGGAUGGCACAGGGCGCAUCCGCCUCAGCGCUAUAUGUGCACGUGUGUGUGAUGCAGCAGAUCACGCAUCUGCGGCAUCAGAAUUGGCAGAGGCUGGAUCCAGGAGUUGGCGUGAAUGGUGAUGGUGAUGGUGUUUGGCGAGCGACUCUGGUCCGGCCGCCCACGUUGCUUCUACCUGGAGAUCUGGGGAUUGGCACUGGUCCGGCCAAUCAGGGUGCGUUGACCAGUGGAAAUGGCCGCAAAUGAGUGCGGAUUGGCUGCAUCCGAGUGGCUGCUGGUCCGGCCACCCAGGAUGCACUGUCGAUGUAGAUGGAGAUGGCGCGCUGGCCAUUGUCGUCUGAAUUGGCUGGCCUCGUCGUUGGAUUGCUGCUGCUGUUUUGUGAUGAUGAUGGCGUGACGUCACGGCCAUCGGUUGACGGCAGCGUAAUCGGAGGGGCGUCCAAAUUGGGCCCAACUUGCAACACAAUGCUGCGGCUGGUGGCGAGGCAGGUACUGGAGAGGCUGAUCUGUGAGUGUAUUGUCAGCGGCAGCCUGUGGACUGGAUGUUGUUGGCGACGGCGAUAGGGCCUUCAAAUUUCGCCCAUUUGGCAGGAAUUGGAUGGCGAAAUUGACGUGGCAACUGCUGGAGAGGCAGCUCUAUCGGAGGCGUGGCAGUGGCUGCUCUGGACCUGUGCGGUGGAUUGUCAGGAGCGUCGUCAAUAAAUCCUAAAAUGUCGUCCAAUUGGCAUCAAAUGUGUGGUGUUGAUGACGGGGCAGCUGCUGAAGGGGCAGAUCCGUCGGAGGCGUGGCAGUGGCUGCUCUGGACCUGUGCGGUGAAUUGUCAGGAGA